rnacentral:lncRNA from 1 species
UACUCCAUUGUCGAUCCGAAGGAUCAUAUCACCUUACCUCAGUCUCUUACUUUCUAUUAGACCCUACAUUAAGGUACAUAUACGAGCACUUGAAUCAAAAUCCAAUACCCAAUUAGAAGUAGAAGAAAUUGUAAGGUUAGAUUCAAUUACGAGCAUAUCUUCUGAAGAUUUAUCAUCUUUCUUAGUCUUUAAGCUCUCCAG